GUAGGUGGCAAGCGUUGUCCGGAAUUAUUGGGCGUAAAGCGCGCGCAGGCGGUUCUUUAAGUCUGAUGUGAAAGCCCACGGCUCAACCGUGGAGGGUCAUUGGAAACUGGAGAACUUGAGUACAGAAGAGGAAAGCGGAAUUCCACGUGUAGCGGUGAAAUGCGUAGAGAUGUGGAGGAACACCAGUGGCGAAGGCGGCUUUCUGGUCUGUAACUGACGCUGAGGCGCGAAAGCGUGGGGAGCAAACAGGGAUUAGAUACCCUGGUAGUCCACGCCGUAAACGAUGAGUGCUAAGUGUUACGGGGGUUUCCGCCCCUUAGUGCUGCAGCUAACGCAUUAAGCACUCGGCCUGGGGAUACGGCGCAAGGCUG
rnacentral:rRNA from 1 species